GGAAGUUGCAUAGCUCAGUGGUAGAACAUCUGCUGUGCAUGCAGAAGGUCCAAGGUUCAACCCUCGACAUUUCCU